rnacentral:ncRNA from 1 species
GCCCGUGAAGAUAGAAACGCAACGCGCGCUCGUACGCGCCAGAGCCGGUAGGUAGCCCGGCCGUCCCGCAUCUGCGGGGUAAGUAACCCUCCCUCCUUGGGUUGUCCGUUCUUCGCGAGACGACA